AGGUAGGUUGGCAGGUAAGUAGUUAGGUAGUGUAUAUGUCUAUGUUUAUGUAUCUAAAUGACUAAGUAUGUAAUCGUCCAGGCAGGCAGGUAUAGGUAGGUGAUCCGUAGGUGUAACUAUGUCUACGUGUGUAUAUGUUUCUGAGGUAUUAAGUCUGUACGUAGGUACGGGUUAUCAGGAAGACCGCGUUUCCCCACGGUUCAUGCACGUGGAAACAAAUGCAGGCUACGCGCGUGGCGGGGCGGGGCGGAGCGAGGCGCGCGCGCGUGUGUGUGUGUGUGUGUGUGUGUGUGUGUGUGUCGUGAGGUGAGUGCCAGCCAGGUGCGUAGGUGCAGCGUCUGGUUCAGGUCGCCUUGGUCAUGGCAGCGAACGGGAGGCUGUGUGUGUUUCCGUGUGAGGUGACCGGCAUGGCAGCGGAUGGAAUGGACAACUAACGGAGGAAAGGGAGGAAAAGGAAUGGAGGAACGGAGGAAACGGAGAGAGAGACUGAUGGAUGCCGGAGGGGUGGUGACAACCCUGGGUCUGCCCCACCCCUACCUGCCCACCCCUACCCUGGGAGGCGACAGGGACAGCAGCAGCCUGGAGCAUGGGCCAGUGUCCACGAGCCUCAAGGUAGUAAAUAGGUAAGUAUGUAUGCUUUUCUUGUGGAUUUUGAUGGUUACUGUGGUGUUUACUAGAUAGAUAGAUAGAUAGGCAGAUAGAUUACAAUGGCUUCAUGUGCCUAUCCUCCACAGCCUGCCUCCUGGGUGGCUGCCCGUCUCUUGAAACUUCAACUGAGUUACUUGCCUUCCCUUAAUCUAUGAGAGCCAUGCAGAGUUGUUUGCUGCACUUUCCUGUAGUUAGCAUAAACUGUAAAAACAGCCUUUUCUCUUGGCUUGUUUGAGUCUAGUGUUGCACUUAUUUGCUUGCUAUGAUUUUAGUGAAAUCCUGGGAGAAGUGAAUUGUGGUAACCCAACUGUCACACUGGCCCUGUGUUGGGCUAAUGGGUUCUCUCCCACCACAGGCUCAGAGGACCAAUAGGACAGAGAUGAACACUGCCACACAGCUAUGUAGUGCAUACUCCCAACUUUACCUUCAUUCCAAAACUUACCUUCAGCAGUGGAACUCUUGCCAGAUAAGACAACUUGGAGACUUAUUUUCAGAUUUACUUUGGAGGCUCAUAAAAGUUGUUAUAUUAAUUGCC